rnacentral:rRNA from 1 species
GUCGAACGGCAGCACGGAGAGCUUGCUCUCUGGUGGCGAGUGGCGAACGGGUGAGUAAUAUAUCGGAACGUGUCCAAUAAUGGGGGAUAACGAGUCGAAAGAUUCGCUAAUACCGCAUACGCCCUACGGGGGAAAGCAGGGGAUCGUAAGACCUUGCGUUAAUGGAGCGGCCGAUAUCUGAUUAGCUUGUUGGUGAGGUAAAGGCUCACCAAGGCGACGAUCAGUAGCUGGUUUGAGAGAACGACCAGCCACACUGGAACUGAGACACGGUCCAGACUCCUACGGGAGGCAGCAGUGGGGAAUAUUGGGCAAUGGAGGAAACUCUGACCCAGCGACGCCGCGUGAGGGAUGAAGGCCUUCGGGUUGUAAACCUCUUUCAGUAGGGAAGAAGCGAAAGUGACGGUACCUACAGAAGAAGCACCGGCUAACUAUGUGCCAGCAGCCGCGGUAAUACAUAGGGUGCAAGCGUUGUCCGGAAUUAUUGGGCGUAAAGAGCUCGUAGGUGGUUCGAUACGUCGGAUGUGAAAAUCAGGGGCUCAACCCCUGACCUGCAUCCGAUACGGUCGAGCUAGAGUUUGGUAGGGGAGACUGGAAUUCCUGGUGUAGCGGUGGAAUGCGCAGAUAUCAGGAGGAACACCGAUGGCGAAGGCAGGUCUCUGGGCCAAUACUGACACUGAGGAGCGAAAGCGUGGGGAGCGAACAGGAUUAGAUACCCUGGUAGUCCACGCCGUAAACGGUGGGCGCUAGUUGUGCGAACCUUCCACGGUUUGUGCGACGCAGCUAACGCAUUAAGCGCCCCGCCUGGGGAGUACGAUCGCAAGAUUAAAACUCAAAGGAAUU